rnacentral:lncRNA from 1 species
UAAAAAGUGUUAAGCUUAUCAUGACUGUUUAUUACCUCUACAAUAAACAUUUUCCUUGUUAUCAGCUUGCCAAUUUUCUAUCUGUAGAUUCCUAAAAGACAAUUCAUACCUGCCUCAGCAAACCACUUGUGUCCUGGAAAUCAUGUAACACAUCCAGAAACAUGGUUUAAAGGUGGAAUUUGAAUGUCCAUCAAACUUUUCCCCCUACCUUCUUGAAUGAAAUUCUAGGGUUCCCAUAGCUGUAGUCAACUCGGCUACUAAUUUUGGUGUGGCUAGGCAGAUUAUUUAAUUCUCUCAACUUCUUUAUGUAUCUGCAAAUACUCUUCAAAGUUUCCAGAUGUAAACCUAUAAAAUUAAUUUUUAAAAAAGUUUUAUCUUACCACUAUCUUGUAUUUUGUGGAUGUAUGGCUAUUUGUGUAGCAUGCUGUUUUUCAUCAGUAUUCAAACCUUCAGAAAAUACCCACGCACUAACACUCUAUGAGCUUAAUUGUUCCAUUUAUGGCCAUUUUGAUUUUACGUAUCUACUAUAAGCCAAGAUACUAGGUGCACAGGAUGCUAAAAUUAAUGAAAUUCCUACCCUUAAUAACUUUAGGGUCAGGCGUUAUAAACCAAAAUACUACUGUAGUGUUUUGAAUGCUUUGAUAGUAUUAGAAAUACACAGGAAAUAGUGGUCAGCCCUCCUGGUGGGGGAAGGCAUUACCUUUCAACUUGAGUCUUGGUCAGAAUGUGUUGGCUGAGUGGGCAAAGGAAGAAUGGGCAGCACACUGGCAAAGAAGAGAGCAAGUAAAGGCAGAGACUUGUGACAAUAUGGCAAAUUCAUUCUAACAGCGGCAUGGGUGGAGUGCAGAUUUCAAUAGAGUACGGCAAGAGAAAAGCUGAAGAACUUCAUUUGUAGUCAAAAUGUGACCAAGUAUAUGCUAAGAAAAUGAGUUUUCACUUGAUUCUCUAGGGAAUGGGAAACCACCAAAAAUCUUUAAGCAGAGGGUUAUGGUUAGAUUUGAAAUUGAGAACACAAUUCUAAUGGUUAUGUGAAUAGUUUGGGAAUUGUCCAGGUGAGAGAGAUGUUUGGAAUUAAGGGAACAGCAGUUAAGGUGGUGUGUUAGAAUGAAUAAUUCUCUCCCACAAAGAUGUCCACAUCGCAAUCCCCAGAACUUGUGAAAGUUACUUUAUAUAACAAAAGGGAUUCUGUAGAUAGGAUUAAGGAUCUUGAAAUGGGAAGAGUAUCCUGCAUUGUCCGAGUGGGCCCAAUAUAAUCAUAAAAG